rnacentral:rRNA from 1 species
CUUCGGGCCUAGCGGCGGACGGGUGAGUAACGCGUGGGAACGUGCCCUUUGCUACGGAAUAGUCCCGGGAAACUGGGUUUAAUACCGUAUGUGCCCUCCAUUUUGGUGAUGGUUGGGGAAAGAUUUAUCGGCAAAGGAUCGGCCCGCGUUGGAUUAGGUAGUUGGUGGGGUAAUGGCCUACCAAGCCGACGAUCCAUAGCUGGUUUGAGAGGAUGAUCAGCCACACUGGGACUGAGACACGGCCCAGACUCCUACGGGAGGCAGCAGUGGGGAAUCUUAGACAAUGGGGGCAACCCUGAUCUAGCCAUGCCGCGUGAGUGAUGAAGGCCCUAGGGUUGUAAAGCUCUUUCAGCUGGGAAGAUAAUGACGGUACCAGCAGAAGAAGCCCCGGCUAACUCCGUGCCAGCAGCCGCGGUAAUACGGAGGGGGCUAGCGUUGUUCGGAAUUACUGGGCGUAAAGCGCACGUAGGCGGACUGGAAAGUUGGGGGUGAAAUCCCGGGGCUCAACCUCGGAACUGCCUUCAAAACUAUCAGUCUGGAGUUCGAGAGAGGUGAGUGGAAUUCCGAGUGUAGAGGUGAAAUUCGUAGAUAUUCGGAGGAACACCAGUGGCGAAGGCGGCUCACUGGCUCGAUACUGACGCUG